rnacentral:rRNA from 1 species
CAGUCGCCGCGGGAAUACGUAGGGUGCAAGCGUUAAUCGGAAUUACUGGGCGUAAAGCGUGCGCAGGCGGUUAUAUAAGACAGAUGUGAAAUCCCCGGGCUCAACCUGGGAACUGCAUUUGUGACUGUAUAGCUAGAGUACGGCAGAGGGGGAUGGAAUUCCGCGUGUAGCAGUGAAAUGCGUAGAUAUGCGGAGGAACACCGAUGGCGAAGGCAAUCCCCUGGGCCUGUACUGACGCUCAUGCACGAAAGCGUGGGGAGCAAUCAGGAUUAGAUACCCCCGUAGUCCCUGUCUCUUAUAC